UGGGGGCUAUGAGCCGGCAGCCCCCCUUACACAAACACACACGUUCAGCAGCAUAAUGAGCGUUUGUCCCUCGCAAUAAAUAAUAAGUAAAAGAGGGAACUUUACCUUGGGUUUUUGUUUUUUGGGGGUAAAAUAUGAGAGUGAACUGGUGGUGUCCGCCGCCGCCGCCGCCUCUUCCACAAGGAGAUCCUCCAACUUCAGCAAGCUAGCGACGACUUUCCUCCCAUUUUACCCAGCGUCAUAUUUCAACAAAAAAAAAAUCCGACCUUUUACCUUGGAGACAGUAUGCCUCGUCGUUGUGUUGUCGGAGGGUGUAACAACACAAACAGAGACGGAUUCGAUUCAAGUUGCACCAGUGGUCAAAAGAUGCGAAAGUCCCUCGUUUGUUCUGCACAUUGUACGGACGACAGCUAUGCUACGACAGAGAUGGCAAGAAUGUGUGGAUAUCCUGCAACACUCAAAGCAGAUGCAUUUCCAACGAUACAGUCAACGAAAUCACUAAGUAGUACCGGCUGACCUGCUGUUUUGCAGCAUGCAAGCUCCCUGACGUCCAUUGAAGAGAUACGCGCCGUCUUUUUAACAUUAAGGUGGGUGAGAAAAUUGUUCAGAAUAAAGAAAAACCGGAAGGACAUGUUCAAGUAUCACAAUGGAGACAAUGCACUCACCACCAUCCACUUCAUUAGGUACACAGGUAGUUAUAUAUAUAUACAUAUAUAUAUUAGGAUGAGGAUAUCUAUACAGCAGAUUUGAUCAUUUACAUCAACAAUAUGAUUUGCAUGAGGGGCUGGAUAGGACAGAUUAAUAAAAACAUGAUUUUGGUAUUUUAAAAAUGUAUUUGAAAUCGUGACAAAUAAUCGCAAUUAAUUUGAAAAUCGAUCCUAAAGGAAUUUUUAAAAAUUAGAGUUGAAAGUUUUUUUAAUGAUUGAUAUUAUUUCAAAUCUGUUCUCCGCAUUAUUUUGUUAAAAAACUAAUUUGAAUAAAAUACAUAUUUGUAAA